UACAAAUGGAGAAGUAUUGGUGCGUGUCUUUCCACAUGAAGAAGUUAAUGCAUACAGAAAGAGAGAUAAAGGAGGUCAGAAGAGUUAGCAGAAUAGUUUGUGUCGCAUUUGUGGAAGUGAAAUUGGUCCAAAAACUAGAAAAAAUCAAAAAAAAAUUAAAUGAGUAAAAUGUGAUAUAUGCAUUUAAAUCGAUGGUACCGUAUGAGAUGCAUUGUUUUUAGAAAUGAAACUUUAUUUUGUUGUGAACAUAUUUAUGUACAAAUGUAUUAAAUAUAUAUAUUAAAUAAUA